CCUACGGGGGGCUGCAGUGGGGAAUUUUGGACAAUGGGGGCAACCCUGAUCCAGCCAUGCCGCGUGAGUGAAGAAGGCCUUCGGGUUGUAAAGCUCUUUCGGCCGGGAAGAAAUCGCGCCUUCUAAUACGGGGUGUGGAUGACGGUACCGGAAGAAGAAGCACCGGCUAACUACGUGCCAGCAGCCGCGGUAAUACGUAGGGUGCGAGCGGUAAUCGGUAUUACUGGGCGCGGAGGGUGCGCAGACGGCGGAAAUCCCCGGGCUUAACCUGGGAACUGCGGUUGUGACUGUGGUGCUUGAGUGCGGCAGAGGGGGGUGGAAUUCCACGUGUAGCAGUGAAAUGCGUAGAGAUGUGGAGGAACACCGAUGGCGAAGGCAGCCCCCUGGGUCGACACUGACGCUCAUGCACGAAAGCGUGGGGAGCAAACAGGAUUAGAUACCCGUGUAGUC
rnacentral:rRNA from 1 species